AGAGGAGCUUGCUCUUCUUGGAUGAGUUGCGAACGGGUGAGUAACGCGUAGGUAACCUGCCUUGUAGCGGGGGAUAACUAUUGGAAACGAUAGCUAAUACCGCAUAACAAUGGAUGACACAUGUCAUUUAUUUGAAAGGGGCAAUUGCUCCACUACAAGAUGGACCUGCGUUGUAUUAGCUAGUAGGUGAGGUAAUGGCUCACCUAGGCGACGAUACAUAGCCGACCUGAGAGGGUGAUCGGCCACACUGGGACUGAGACACGGCCCAGACUCCUACGGGAGGCAGCAGUAGGGAAUCUUCGGCAAUGGGGGCAACCCUGACCGAGCAACGCCGCGUGAGUGAAGAAGGUUUUCGGAUCGUAAAGCUCUGUUGUAAGUCAAGAACGGGUGUGAGAGUGGAAAGUUCACACUGUGACGGUAGCUUACCAGAAAGGGACGGCUAACUACGUGCCAGCAGCCGCGGUAAUACGUAGGUCCCGAGCGUUGUCCGGAUUUAUUGGGCGUAAAGCGAGCGCAGGCGGUUUGAUAAGUCUGAAGUUAAAGGCUGUGGCUCAACCAUAGUUCGCUUUGGAAACUGUCAAACUUGAGUGCAGAAGGGGAGAGUGGAAUUCCAUGUGUAGCGGUGAAAUGCGUAGAUAUAUGGAGGAACACCGGUGGCGAAAGCGGCUCUCUGGUCUGUAACUGACGCUGAGGCUCGAAAGCGUGGGGAGCGAACAGGAUUAGAUACCCUGGUAGUCCACGCCGUAAACGAUGAGUGCUAGGUGUUGGAUCCUUUCCGGGAUUCAGUGCCGCAGCUAACGCAUUAAGCACUCCGCCUGGGGAGUACGACCGCAAGGUUGAAACUCAAAGGAAUUGACGGGGGCCCGCACAAGCGGUGGAGCAUGUGGUUUAAUUCGAAGCAACGCGAAGAACCUUACCAGGUCUUGACAUCCCGAUGCUAUUUCUAGAGAUAGAAAGUUACUUCGGUACAUCGGUGACAGGUGGUGCAUGGUUGUCGUCAGCUCGUGUCGUGAGAUGUUGGGUUAAGUCCCGCAACGAGCGCAACCCUUAUUGUUAGUUGCCAUCAUUCAGUUGGGCACUCUAGCGAGACUGCCGGUAAUAAACCGGAGGAAGGUGGGGAUGACGUCAAAUCAUCAUGCCCCUUAUGACCUGGGCUACACACGUGCUACAAUGGUUGGUACAACGAGUUGCGAGUCGGUGACGGCGAGCUAAUCUCUUAAAGCCAAUCUCAGUUCGGAUUGUAGGCUGCAACUCGCCUACAUGAAGUCGGAAUCGCUAGUAAUCGCGGAUCAGCACGCCGCGGUGAAUACGUUCCCGGGCCUUGUACACACCGCCCGUCACACCACGAGAGUUUGUAACACCCGAAGUCGGUGAGGUAACC
rnacentral:rRNA from 1 species